GAACAUAAUUAAUAGCUCUCAAAACAAUUAUUUCAACACAGAAAGAAAUUGUGCUAUUAGUUUGACUUAAAGAUACAUUUGAUUUACAGGUUCGCUGCUAUGAGUUCUAAUUUAGUUUUUUUUUUUAUGAAAGAAAAC